rnacentral:rRNA from 1 species
GGAAUAUAGGUCAAUGGGCGCGAGCCUGAACCAGCCAAGUAGCGUGAAGGACGACUGCCCUAUGGGUUGUAAACUUCUUUUGUUAGGGAAUAAAGUGUGCCACGCGUGGCAUUUUGUAUGUACCUUACGAAUAAGCAUCGGCUAAUUCCGUGCCAGCAGCCGCGGUAAUACGGAAGAUGCGAGCGUUAUCCGGAUUUAUUGGGUUUAAAGGGAGCGUAGGCGGCCCGUUAAGUCAGCGGUUAAAUGUCAUGGCCCAACCUUGGCAUGCCGUUGAUACUGGUGGGCUUGAAUACACACAAGGGUGGUGGAAUUCGUUGUGUAGCGGUGAAAUGCUUAGAUAUGACGAAGAACUCCGAUUGCGAAGGCAGCCGCCUGGGGUGCGAUUGACGCUGAGGCUCGAAAGUGCGGGGAUCAAACA